rnacentral:sRNA from 1 species
CGGACAGGGGGGUUCCUGCCGUCCGGCGGGGCCUGUCCGAACAGGUUGCGCGAAUGCGUGGCCAGUGGUUGUCGCUCGGGGGUGAUCGCCG